CAAGGCUGUUUCUUGUGAGUGAUUUGGGGUGUCGCCUCUCCUGAAUCAGAAUGUGGGGGAGUCCUCACUUUGUGGGUCUUUCACUACAGGAGGUCAUGCUGGUGUCUGUGGUCAAUGCUUCUGCCCCAGGCCAUUGAUGAAGCCUGAGAACCAUUGGGUCAAAUGCAGUCUGUGCUGAUGCUUGAUGUCUUGGUGAUGUCCUUGGGCUUGGCUGCCUCCAGUAACCACGUUGAUGUGAGGGGCAUGUACCUGAGGCCAUGUUGAAGCCUGUGGUCUAGAUGCAGCUAGGGGGCCGUGUUUGUUGAUGUCUGCUGCCUGUAUUACCAUAGAAGCCAAUGUGGAUGUUUGUGGUCUGAGCUGCUGCCUGAAACCAUGGUGAUGGCAAACUCCUCCCUGGCAGCCAAAAAAGCAACACUGGCUGUGAUGUAGGCAUCAGAGAGUUAGCCCCAUCCCUUUCAGGAGAGCUGGCUGUGCUCUGAGUUGGCCCACAGCACUAAAGUAUAGGGAGUGGUGUAGUCAAGGGAGAGCUGGUCCUGUCCCUCACUAGCCAGUGCAUGGUUUUCCUCAGUUGAUGGCUUCUGGUAUGGACACAGGCAGAGAAAGAGGCAUCCUUUCUUAGGGAACUGGCCACUAGAAGUCUACCAUGUCCUAUACUGCUACCUGCUGAGAGGCCCCAGAGCUAUUCUGGAGACUAUGCCCUAUCCUGCACAUCAUCACCGGCAGCUGGUUCCAGGCUCCAAGAAUGAAUUGGCUGGAAUGGGCCUCCCCCCUGCUUUAUAAAGGGUGUCCACCAUUAAACAUUUGAACCUUGAGCAGACUAGCAUGUCUUGGUUCCAUUAUUUCUCAACCCGCCUAGGUUCCCUCUUUUCUUUCUGCUCCAGCAACACUGUACAUUUCUGAUAUCUCCUUCAGUUCCAGAUACUGCCCUCCUUAUUUCUUCCUCCUCCUCUCUCCCUCCCAGGUCCCCUUCUCCCUCUUCCUACCACAUUUGUCCUGUUUCCCCCUCAAUGCAGGACUGCAGCAUCUACACCCUGAUCUUCCUUCCUUUUGUGCUCCAUAUGGUCU
rnacentral:lncRNA from 1 species